GUGCAAAGGUAGCAUAAUCAUUAGGUUUUUAAUUGGAAUCUUGUAUGAAUGAUUGGACAAAAGAAGUACUGUCUUUGUAUUGAAACUUGAAUUUAACUUUUAAGUGAAAAGGCUUAAAUAUACUAAAGGGACGAUAAGACCCUAUAAAACUUUACAUUUAUGUUAAAUUUUAUGGAAUUUGAAAUUAUAAUUAUUAAGUUUAAUUUUUUGUUAUGUUGGGGAGACAAAAGCUAUAAUUAUUUAUAACUGCUUUUAAAGGAAACAAAAAUAAAUGGGGAGAGUUAAAGAUCCUUUAUUGAGAUUGUAAGAUUAAGUUACUUUAGGGAUAACAGCGUUAUUUUUUUUGAGAGUUCAUAUUGAAAAAAAAGAUUGCGACCUCGAUGUUGAAUUAAAAUAUCUUU
rnacentral:rRNA from 1 species